AAGGUGGCAGUAAUGAGCAAAUUCACAACUUGGACUACGGCCCUGCCGCUUCUUCAGGAUCCUGACGUAAAGGAAAACACCUGUUCAUGAUGUGUGCAAGAAGGUGUUAGAGCAGAGAACUACUGGAAACGGAAAACAGAAGUACAGAGACUUGCCCUAAUGGAAAGGUAACCCAUGAGCAUUAAAUAGAAAUGUGCUGUCAUGCUAUGCAUUUCCUGAGGUAAUUUACACGAACCUACCAAAAUGGUGUUUGAGUUAUUUCACUCUACAUAUUGUUUGCAUUGUAUAUCGUAUUAUCAUAAAUCUAUUUGUUUCACACGGUAAAGGAAAAUAAUCAAAUUGCUUACACAAGUAUUUAUUUAAUUAAGCUUUAACAUUUGUACCUUUUUAUAAGAUUGUGUACUCAUUUCACAGCACAUAAUUGGUUUCCUAAUUUAUUACAGCUAUUUUGACUUGAAACGUGUUCUUUAUGAUCUAAAAUGUGUCUCUUGGUGUUUACCUCCAAUGGCCAUUCUGUGAAAGUGUCCCAUUCUAGAGCUGAGAAGAGACAGCAGGACAGGGAAUCAUCUGCUAGUGUCGCGUCAGAUGUCUACAUGUCCACAAGUUGUUUAAGAAAAAGUAAGAAUAAAUUUAAGAGGACUACAACAGUUUGCUGCAACAGUUCUUCUCCAUGCUGGAUGGUUAUUCUUCAGACCUGAAAACGGUGUUUGGCAAGGAAGGCGGCAUUCAAGGACAAAAGAUUAAGAGCAUCAUGGUUCCCAUAACCCAGACUAACUCCAUUGAUGUCAGAAGAGUACAUCCUUUAAGCCCAGUGUGUGUUCCUCAAUGAAGAUCCUGGCAACCUUGUGAAAGAAUGGAUGAUCGUGGACGCCUUGAAGAAGCCAUGAUAGAGACAAUUCUUGAAGUUUUUGUCAUUCACAAAGAUGCAGAGGCAGAUGAUGACCCUGAAGAUGUAGUCAUCGUUUCAAGUCCUGGAUGAGUUGGGUAGUGUCCCACUUGCUGUGUUGUUGUUUGCUCUUGUUAUAUGCUCUCAACCUCAGCUACCCUCCACUAAAAGUUGUUUGAAAUAUUGGCCCAAUGCUGUAUGUACAAUACUGGAUGUUAGUGACAUUUUGUAGCUGCCUUUGACAUUUGAAAGCUGUUUUAUCGUUUUUAUGAAGCUUAUAAAGUAUUCUAACCAGUCUAAAUCCAA